CGUGCCUAUACAUGCAAGUCGAGCGGACAGAUGGGAGCUUGCUCCCUGAUGUUAGCGGCGGACGGGUGAGUAACACGUGGGUAACCUGCCUGUAAGACUGGGAUAACUCCGGGAAACCGGGGCUAAUACCGGAUGGUUGUUUGAACCGCAUGGUUCAAACAUAAAAGGUGGCUUCGGCUACCACUUACAGAUGGACCCGCGGCGCAUUAGCUAGUUGGUGAGGUAACGGCUCACCAAGGCAACGAUGCGUAGCCGACCUGAGAGGGUGAUCGGCCACACUGGGACUGAGACACGGCCCAGACUCCUACGGGAGGCAGCAGUAGGGAAUCUUCCGCAAUGGACGAAAGUCUGACGGAGCAACGCCGCGUGAGUGAUGAAGGUUUUCGGAUCGUAAAGCUCUGUUGUUAGGGAAGAACAAGUACCGUUCGAAUAGGGCGGUACCUUGACGGUACCUAACCAGAAAGCCACGGCUAACUACGUGCCAGCAGCCGCGGUAAUACGUAGGUGGCAAGCGUUGUCCGGAAUUAUUGGGCGUAAAGGGCUCGCAGGCGGUUUCUUAAGUCUGAUGUGAAAGCCCCCCGGCUCAACCGGGGAGGGUCAUUGGGAAACUGGGGAACU
rnacentral:rRNA from 1 species